rnacentral:rRNA from 1 species
CAGCAGCCACGGGAAUACGUAGGUGGCGAGCGUUGUCCGGAAUUAUUGGGCGUAAAGGGAGCGCAGGCGGGCGAGUAAGUCUUUCUUAAAAGUGCGGGGCUCAACCCCGUGAGGGGAGAGAAACUACUCAUCUUGAGUGCAGGAGAGGAAAGCGGAAUUCCUAGUGUAGCGGUGAAAUGCGUAGAUAUUAGGAAGAACACCAGUGGCGAAGGCGGCUUUCUGGACUGUAACUGACGCUGAGGCUCGAAAGCCAGGGGAGCGAACGGGAUUAGAUACCCCCAGUAGUCCCUGUCUCUUAUAC